GGCCUCGCGCGCUGCGACUGCGCGAUCCCGAGCUCCAGCCCCUGGCGGCGCCUCCGCGGAGCGGGGCAUAGCGGUCCACGUGGCCGGCGAGUGUCCGCCUCGGUGGUCCUCCCCUCCGAUGACCCCGCCUGGUGGUGACAGUCGGCCAGUGGAGCGCCAGCACCCCCACAUUGGUAGUCUUAAUCCUGUUUGACCCCCACGUACCUGAAUUGUGAUGGCGGAAGUGGGGUGUGCACUCCUCAACGAAAGCACGAUGAGCGACAUGCAACGUCUCCAGUGGCCUGUUCUUCAGUCACAAGAAUGAACUGCAUUCUAGAUGAUGGAGCUUCUGCCAGCCUGGGUUAGGGAGUGACCACGUGGAACAAAGAACAUCAGCUCCUCCCCCUGAACUCCCCAACUUCAACCAAAUUGUGAGACAGGUAACUUAAGUGAAAAAUAAACGUUUGUUAUGUCAAAGCA